UAAAUGUGCAGUGUUAGAUGCUGAUACGUAUAAUUUAAACUUCAUCUCAUGCGAUGCGUCUCCGGGCUGCCCAACAACAGCAUACAGAGCCUCAGACAUUUAUAAAUAUCAGGCAUGCUUUGAAAACUUUUACAGGGUUGAGACAACGACAUCCAAUAAAGCAUCAAUCACUCUGCAUGUGAAUGGAAACACGCAAG